rnacentral:tRNA from 1 species
UCUCUAUGUGGCGGAAAAUCGCAUUAAAUUUAGAAUUUAACCACCUACAA